UACGGAGGAUGCAAGCGUUAUCCGGAUUCAUUGGGUUUAAAGGGUGCGUAGGCGGGUUUCUAAGUCGGGGGUGAAAUCCUACAGCUUAACUGUAGAACUGCCUCCGAUACUGGAAGUCUUGAAUAUGGUAGAGGGCAACGGAAUUCCAGGUGUAGCGGUGAAAUGCUUAGAUAUCUGGAAGAACACCGGUUGCGAAGGCUGUUGCCUGGGCCAUUAUUGACGCUCAUGGACGAAAGCGUGGGGAUCAAACAGGAUUAGAUACCCGAGUAGU
rnacentral:rRNA from 1 species